rnacentral:rRNA from 1 species
UACGGGGGGGGCAAGCGUUGUUCGGAAUUACUGGGCGUAAAGGGCUCGUAGGUGGCCAACUAAGUCGGACGUGAAAUCCCUCGGCUUAACCGGGGAACUGCGUCUGAUACUGGAUGGCUUGAGUUCGGGAGAGGGAUGCGGAAUUCCAGGUGUAGCGGUGAAAUGCGUAGAUAUCCGGAGGAACACCGGUGGCGAAGGCGGCUUCCUGGACCGACACUGACGCUGAGGCGCGAAAGCUAGGGGAGCAAACGGG